GGCGGCUUGGCCAAGUGGUAAGGCGGGGGACUGCAAAUCCUUUAUCCCCAGUUCAAAUCCGGGUGUCGCCUGAUCAACAAA
rnacentral:tRNA from 1 species